AUUGAACGCUGGCGGCAGGCCUAACACAUGCAAGUCGAGCGGAGCGGCGGACGGGUGAGUAAUGCCUAGGAAUCUGCCUGGUCGUGGGGGAUAACGUCCGGCAACGGGCGCUAAUACCGCAUACUCUCAGAUGAGCCUAGGGCGGAUUAGCUAGUUGGAGGGGUAAAGGCCUACCCAGGCGACGAUCCGUACCUGGUCUGAGAGGAUGAUCAGUCACACUGGAACUGAGACACGGUCCAGACUCCUACGGGAGGCAGCAGUGGGGAAUAUUGGACAAUGGGCGAAAGCCUGAUCCAGCCAUGCCGCGUGUGUGAAGAAGGUCUUCGGAUUGUAAAGCACUUUAAGUUGGGAGGCGUUACCAACAGAAGAAGCACCGGCUAACUUCGUGCCAGCAGCCGCGGUAAUUC
rnacentral:rRNA from 1 species